rnacentral:lncRNA from 1 species
UGCCUCUAUUCUUUAUGUAAAUCCAUUUGCGACUUCAGUAUCACUGUUCUUGCAGCAAGAUGACUGUUGUAACCACUCUGUAAAGACUCCACUCAGGCUUUCUGCCCCACCAUAAACAUCUUGAAUUAGAAACCCCACAUUGCUCAAAUCUGAUACGUGUCCCUCUUCUCUUCUUGUUGGAAGCCAUUAUCAGCAGAUGGACAUGCUGUUUUUGAAGUCCUUGGCUUUGAGCUGCAACGGACAGGGCUUUCGGAAGAUCAAAGUGGUAGAAACACCAGCAAAAAAUGGUUCUCUUCGUAGGAGGUGUGGAUCAUGAAGAAAUUUCAUG